CAUGGCCGCCAUCACUCACAGCCUCGCAGACAAGGCCGGCAUCUGCAUUCUGUUGUUUCCUGCAAGUGGGAACCUCCAAAGGCCAGAAUCUGCAGAAAGCCAUUGGGAUUUUGCAGUAAAGAGCUGUCUCUGCCACUCACUGACUCUGGCUUGGUUCUGAAAGCCCUGUAAGCUUCCACUCCAUCCCACUGCCCAUCAGUCCCACUUUAAAUAAUGAAUCUAGGCACCGAGAGUGUGUGUGGACUAGCACUGAUGCAGACCACUUUACCAGAGCCAUCCUUCACAAGCAGUAUUCUCUUUGAUUUAAUUGAGUAACUCCUGAAAAACCUGUCUUCUUUAUUAAAUUUUCAUGAUUGAUAGCUUCAUCUGUCAAUUUUUGGUUUAUCACUUGGACUCCAUCAUUACACAGUAGGCCCUAAAGUUCUUCCGUGACAGAUCUCUGUCACUGGGGAUGGAGCACCACAGAGGCACAUAGACCUUUCAUAGAAUCCCCCUUUCAUCUUUCACUAGCUGGGUGCUUUGGGCAAACUGCUUGGAACCUUAGUUUCUUCAUCUGUAAUAUAGAAAUAAUAAUAACCAACCGGGCAAGGUGGCUCACGCCUGUAAUCCCAGCACUUUGGGAGGCUGAGGCAGGUGGAUCAGGAGUUUGAGCCCAGCCUAGCCAACAUGGUGAAACCCUGGCUCUAGUAAAAACACAAAAACCAGCUGGGCAUGGUGGCACACACCUGUAAUCCCAGCUACAAGGGAGGCUGAGGCAUGAGAAUCACUUGAACCUGGGAGUUGGAGUUUGCACUGAGCCAAGAUCAUGCUAUUGCACUCCAGCCUGGGCAACAAGAGCAAAACUCCGUCUCAAAACAAACAAACAAAACUGGUCUAUCAGUCACACAGCUCCAAAGAAGUGAAUUCUGUCGACACUAAGAAUGAGCUUGGGAGCAAAUUCUCCCCCAGUCAAGCUUCUCUAUGAGAACACAGCCCAGCCCAACUGUGGCAGCAGCCUCAUGAGGCCCUGAGCUGAGGAGCCAGCUAAGCUGUGCCCAGACUCCUCACCCCUGGAAACUCGCUUAAAAGUGUGAAAAUAAAUGUGCAUAGUUUUUAACACACUGUGGUGCUUUGUUCCACAUCAUAGAAAACUAAUACAACAUGAAAAUACUGAAAAUUUCUAGCGCCUCAAAAGACUCCCUUAUGUGCCCCUCCCCCCCGUUAGCAAUGCCCAGUACCCCAAAGGUAAACAUUAAUGUUUAUUGCCAUAAAUUACUUCUGUUUUUGAACUUCAUAUAAAUGGAGUCAUGCAGGAUGUAUACUUUUGUGUCUGACUUCCUUAACAGUAUGUCUGAGAUUCAUCCAUGUUGCUCUGUGUAACACUUGUUCAUUUUUUUCAUUGCUGUGUAG
rnacentral:lncRNA from 10 species